rnacentral:lncRNA from 1 species
GAUCCCAAAGAUCUUGAUAACAUAACACAAUUUUUAUCUGCUUGCACAAAUUCUCAUAAUUGUUGUUCUUGAGAAUCAAAAGAUUUGCUGGAAAAUGUCCGUUUGGAUGAUUCGUUGCCAUGGUAAUUUUCUUCCCACGAAUCGAUUAAACCGUAGCUCUUGAUACCAGAUGUUGGAAAUCCCCCAAAAUCUAUGGAGAAUUUCAAUCAAUCUUGAUAAACAAGAUUGUUA